rnacentral:lncRNA from 1 species
AGGCCUGGCCCAAUCUGACAGCAACUGGGCAGGCAGAGCGAGCCCCCACUUUAUGGGUGAGAAAACCGAGGCACGGAGAGGUGAAUGCGCGUGGUAUCAAUGCCGCUAAGGCAGAAGUGAGGCGGAAAAGCCCGUCCUCGCGAGGGGCGGCCCUGUCUCCAGCUCCCAGGAAGAGUCUCUCCCUUUUGCAAACGCCAGCCACAGAGGUUUAUUUUUCUCCCUGAGAGAAGGAAGAGUGAAGGCUGAGACUGAGACAGAAGGACAGAAGGAGAAGACUUAGAAGCCAGUGAGCCCGGAACCACGAGACGCGCUCUGAGGACACGGGGCCUCGGGGAAACCGGGCACGGGCAGGGGUUGGUCUUGGCUUCCCCGCAACAUUGCCGCGAGCUCGGGUGCCGUCUCCACUCGCAGGCUGGCCUGUCCUCUGCAGCCACGAGCUCAGGCACCGUCUCCGUUCAUAGGCCAGCCUGUUCUCUGCAGCCUGAGGUCCCUGUGGUGCCAACAUCCAGAUGCUGAGAUAAUUCUGCCAGGGUGUUGGCUGAUCGGUGAUUGGUGGUUGGCUGUUCCGUGAGUUCUGCAUUGAUCUUGCUGGCUGAGCGUCCAAUGCGGAGGGGCAGGUGCUGUUAGGGUCUCCACUCCCAUCCCUCUCCCCAGGACUCAUCACCCACUGCAACCGUAAGCUGCUAGGGGCUCACAGCCGUGAGUCUUUGGGACGGGUGGUCCCACCUGGCAUGUAGCUCAGGCUCCUAGCCCCAGGACCCUGCCGCUGCUCCCCUCCCGCCCACAUCUUGGCUUAGCCGUCUUCCCUGGCUGCCAGCCCCUUCCCCUGGUCUUAGUUGGCUUGAGCCACUAAACUGAAAUAGCACACCCUGAGGCCUUCAACAGCAGACCUGAUUUCUCACCAUCUGGAGGCUGGAGGUCCAGGAUCCAGGCCCCCAAGGCUGCUUUCUCCCCCACUCCCCCACCCACCUUCCAGGACACGCAGACUCCACCCUCUUGCUGCCCUGUCUCAGGGCUGUCCCUCUGGGCAAGCAGGCCCCUGGCAUCCCCGUGUGUCUUCUCCUCCUGUUCUUAUAAGGACACCAGUCAUACUGGAUCUGGGCCCACCCUAGUGACCUCAUUUACCUUAAUCACCUCUGAAAGACCUUGUCUCAAAAACAGCCACAUUCUGGGGCACUGAGGGUUAGGGCUUUAACAUGGGAAUUUGAGGGAUGCAAUUCACCCCAUAAAACCCAGACCAUUCCCCCAGUAAAUCACUUUCACAAGAGCUCUUCUCUCAGGCUUUGCUUCUGGGGGAUCCCCCUUGAGAUGGAUCCAUCUAGCUUCCUGCUUCUCAAAGAACAGAGGGGAGAGCUCUGGUGCGAAGGGAACGGGUGGCCUCGGGGACCUGCGGAUAAGCUGCUGGCACUGCCAGGGGACAGGCUGAGCUGAAAGCCAGGAGGAGGGCGGCGAGGCCCGGGGCCGGACCUCAUUCUUCUGAGUGUUAUAAAAUCUGGCUUUGCUCAGAAACUGCCCCAUGUGUGCUUUUGUUAAUUGAAGUGCAAAAUUUUCUCCAAGUAAUAACUGGAGUCGUUUAACAAUACAAAUAAUUUGCACCUUA